UACGGAAGGGGGCUAGCGUUGUUCGGAAUUACUGGGCGUAAAGCGCGCGUAGGCGGAUAUUUAAGUCCGGAUGUGAAAUCCCCGGGCUCAACCUGGGAAUUGCAUUCGAUACUGGAUGGCUAGAGUUCGGCAGAGGGAAGUGGAAUUUCAGGUGUAGCGGUGAAAUGCGUAGAUAUCUGAAGGAACAUCAGUGGCGAAAGCGACUUCCUGGACCAGAACUGACGAUCAGGCACGAAAGCGUGGGGAGCAACAGG
rnacentral:rRNA from 1 species